rnacentral:rRNA from 1 species
AUUGAACGCUGGCGGCAGGCCUAACACAUGUAAGUCGAGCGGAUGAAGGGAGCUUUCUCCUGGAUUCAGCUGCGGACGGGUGAGUAAUGCCUAGGAAGCUGCCUGGUAUUGGGGGAUAACGUCCGGAAACGGGCGCUAAUACCGCAUACGUCCUGAGGGAGAAAGUGAGGGAUCUUCGGACCUCACGCUAUCAGAUGAGCCUAGGUCGGAUUAGCUAGUUGGUGGGGUAAAGGCCUACCAAGGCGACGAUCCGUAACUGGUCUGAGAGGAUGAUCAGUCACACUGGAACUGAGACACGGUCCAGACUCCUACGGGAGGCAGCAGUGGGGAAUCUUGGACAAUGGGCGAAAGCCUGAUCCAGCCAUGCCGCGUGUGUGAAGAAGGUCUUCGGAUUGUAAAGCACUUUAAGUUGGGAGGAAGAGCAGUAAGUUAAUACCUUGCUGUUUUGACGUUACCAACAGAAUAAGCACCGGCUAACUUCGUG